UGGGGGACCUUUAUGGCCCAGAGCACCCGAAAGAGUGUGACAUCACGUUGGAGAGCUCACUGCUCUGAACUGGUUUAUUCUUGGCCAGCAGCUUCUACUGGCUACAAACGCCAGAACCACUGUGUAAUGGAUGCUCUGGUGAACUCAGAGAUCAGGGAAGAGGGAGGAGAUACUCGGU